AACGCACAUUGCGCCCCUUGGUAUUCCAUGGGGCAUGCCUGUUCGAGCGUCAUUUGUACCUUCAAGCUUUGCUUGGUGAUGGGUGUUUGUCCAAUCUUCAGAUUAGACUCGCCUCAAAAUUAUUGGCAGCCGGCAUAUUGGCCUUUGGAGCGCAGCACAUUUUGCGAUCUAAGCCUGUAUACUGGUAUCCAUGAAGCCUCUUUAUCACUUUUGACCUCGGAUCAGGUAGGGAUACCCGCUGAACUUAA
rnacentral:misc_RNA from 1 species